GAUGAACGCUGGCUGUGUGCCUAAUACAUGCAUGUCGAGCGAAGCACUUUUGUGCUUAGCGGCGAAUGGGUGAGUAACACGUACUUAACCUACCCUCAAGAUUGGGACAACACUUGGAAACGAGUGCUAAUACCAAAUACGUAUUUUUAUCGCAUGAUAGAUAUAUAAAAGGAGCUUCGGCUUCACUUGAGGAUGGGAGUGCGCUACAUUAGUUAGUUGGUAGGGUAAUGGCCUACCAAGACUAUGAUGUAUAGCGGGGCCGAGAGGCUGAUCCGCCACACUGGGACUGAGAUACGGCCCAGACUCCUACGGGAGGCAGCAGUAGGGAAUUUUCCACAAUGAACGAAAGUUUGAUGGAGCGACACAGCGUGCAGGAUGAAGGUCUUCGGAUUGUAAACUGCUGUUAUAAGAGAAGAAAAACCCUGGUAGGUAAUGACCAGGACUUGACGGUACCUUAUCAGAAAGCGACGGCUAACUAUGUGCCAGCAGCCGCGGUAAUACAUAGGUCGCAAGCGUUAUCCGGAAUUAUUGGGCGUAAAGAGUUCGUAGGUGGUUUUGUAAGUCUGAAGUUAAAUACCGGGGCUCAACCCCGGCCCGCUUUGGAUACUGCAAAACUAGAGUAAUAGAGAGGUUAGUGGAACUCCAAGUGAAGCGGUGGAAUGCGUAGAUAUUUGGAAGAACACUAAUGGCGAAGGCAACUAACUGGAUAUUAACUGACACUGAGGAACGAAAGCGUGGGUAGCAAACAGG
rnacentral:rRNA from 1 species